AUUGAGAAUUAGUUCUCUUUUUCAAGGAUUGGUCCUUGUUUUGUUCUUUGUUCUGAUUCUUUCCCUUUGUUCUACAUCAAUUUUGGUAUCAGAGCCUAAAUUCAAUCCAAACUUUCAUAAGUUUCUACAAAAUUUUAAACCUUCACCAUUGCACCAUGGUCCAACCAUCAGACCCAAGUGUUGCCACCGCCAGAACACCUGCGACCUCCAGGCGACCCUCCUUUAGGAUUCAGGCAGUCAGACAUCACUCUGAACCCCAUAUCCGACCAGGUCAAGUGACGACCGAAACAUGAUCCAUAAGUUUUCUAGCAUCUGCACCCUCCCAAACACUCACCAGUAGCCAAUUUACCGAUCCCCUAGCAGAAUGGCCGUCUGACUCUCCGAAUGCAAAAAUCUAUUGGGUCGAGUCAAGGAAUCUGCUGGAUUUUGUUUUUAAUGUCCAUUUUUUUAUGAAAAUUACUCCUAAAUUGCUGAAAUUUCAGUUUUCUUCAAUGAGGUAUGCUUCCUUAAUUUUAAAUCAUAAUGUGGACUGAAAGAUUACAAGAUGAUAUUGAUGAUUCUAAGGUACAAGAUGAGUUAUGGGAUGCAAUUCAAAGAAUACAAGAUGAAAUUGAUGAUUAUUAUGAACAACUUGAUGAAGUGUGUUAUUUGAUUGAUUUGUAUGGAGGUCCUAACUAUGCUCCUUGUGGUUUACUUGAUAAGUAUCGAGAUAUUCAACUAAUCUUAUAAUAUAGGGAGAAAGUACUUGAAGAAUGUAAGAAUAAAUAUCAUGAUUAACAGGCUCAUCAAAAAGUUAAGGAUAAAAAACUUGAAGAAUUUGAAGCAUAAAAAGAAGCACAUUUGUUCCAAUUG
rnacentral:misc_RNA from 1 species